UACGAAGGGGGCUAGCGUUGCUCGGAAUUACUGGGCGUAAAGCGCACGUAGGCGGCUUUGUAAGUUAGAGGUGAAAGCCCGGGGCUCAACUCCGGAAUUGCCUUUAAGACUGCAUCGCUAAAAUUGUGGAGAGGUAAGUGGAAUUCCGAGUGUAGAGGUGAAAUUCGUAGAUAUUCGGAAGAACACCAGUGGCGAAGGCGACUUACUGGACACAUAUUGACGCUGAGGUGCGAAAGCGUGGGGAGCAAACAGG
rnacentral:rRNA from 1 species